rnacentral:misc_RNA from 1 species
UCUCCGUAGGUGAACCUGCGGAAGGAUCAUUAUUGAAUUUUUUGAAGGAGUUGUUGCUGGCCUAUCUUGUGGGGGGGCAUGUGCACGCUUCGUUCAAUUAUUAUCUUCACACCCCUGUGCACCUUUUGUAGGUUGGUCGGAAGACCUUCCUAUGUCCAUCUAUAAACACUUUAAAAAGUAUUUAGACUGUACUGCGUAUAACGCAUCUUUAUACAACUUUCAGCAACGGAUCUCUUGGCUCUC